AGUCUUAUAUUCAAAUGAAUGAUAUAAAAUUGCAAAUUUUAUGGUGUAAAUAAAUACUAAGGCUU
rnacentral:tRNA from 1 species